GUGUGGACUGAACUCUGAUCUCUUCUCCCCCACCCCCUCCCCAGAGUCGGUGAUGAUGGAGAGAUGCCGCAAACUGUUUAUGAUGAAGUUUCAGAGCAACGCCAGCCGUUACAGCAGCCAGGACGAGGCCGGGGGAAGUUUGAAGACCCUCCCGCGAGUGAAGAACCCUCACGUUGCUGCCUUCAGCGUGAUGGACAGAAUGGCCACCCUCCCAGAGUGACGCUGGGGAGCUCCUGUUCCUGACCUCGACGAGUGGCCAGGAGCGUGCGGGACGGAGGAUCCAGCCGGAGAGAUCCGUCAGAAACGCGGGGGGGGUAGACGAUGUAUUAUACAUAGGCAGGCACCAUGGGGAUUCAUCACGGCUUUUGGGGAGGGUUUCCGCCUCGGGACGCUACUGCAAUGCACCUCCUUUCCCGACGCCACUACCGGGAAAGGCCAUUGGGCUUCAGGAUGCUGAGCGUAGCAGGGUUAAAGGGGCCGAAGGGGGAUGUGGGGGGGGGGGGGGAAAUGCAACAUCAGAAAGAUCUAACCCGGUCUCAGUGGGGCUGGGGAUAGGAGGCAAGGAGUGGACGGGCCGAGUGCACUCUGUCAUUGGGAGCGUCGGGGGGGGGGGGGAAAUGGGUGGGGUCUCCUCUUUCCUGGGGGCAGCUGGGGAGGGGGUACAAGGAGCUGCCCCCCGUCUCAGUCACCGACAGCUUCACCCCGAUCGGAAACCUCGCUCUCAAUAAAACAGUUGGAAACAA